rnacentral:lncRNA from 1 species
UUGAUUUUGAAGUAUCCUUGUGCUGUAGGUCUCAUGAUUGGCUGAUUGGGACCCUAGUAGCUCGAAUCCAUGGACCAAAGAGUAUAGUCUUUGAUCCUUGAACUCUUGAGCAACCACAGGUGUCCACUUCCACUCCAAUCCACCCACAAUCAUAACAUAUAUCGAGGAGCUCCUCAUAUAUAAAUUGCUGCCAUAGGAUUGCUGUCACGCCCC